AACGAACGCUGGCGGCAGGCUUAACACAUGCAAGUCGAACGCACCUUUCGGGGUGAGUGGCAGACGGGUGAGUAACGCGUGGAAAUCUACCCUUAUAUGCGGGAUAGCUCCGUUCAACUGGAAUUAAUAACGUAUAAGUCCCGAGGAAGAAAGAAUUAUCGGGGAAGGAUGAGCGCGCGUUGGAUUAAAUAGUUGGUGGGGUAAAGGCCUACCAAGGCGACGAGCCAUAGCUGGGUUAAGAGGAUGAUCAGCGACAUUUGGACUGCGACAAGGCCCAAACUCCUACGGGAGGCAGAAGUGGGGAAUAUUGGACAAUGGGCGCAAGACUGAUCCAGCCAUGCCGCGUGAGUGAUGAAGGCCCUAGGGUUGUAAAGCGCUUUAAGUGGGGACGAUAAUGACGGUACCCACAGAAGAAGCCCCGGCUAACUUCGUG
rnacentral:rRNA from 1 species